rnacentral:lncRNA from 1 species
CCUGGCUGUGACUCAUUUCAGCAGGAAGAGUGUGAGCUGCCUUUCUGCCAGAUAUGAAGGUAUGAGAGAGGAGAAGCACUGAGCCCGAUGCCAUCACACAUCUUCAUCCUCCACUGGAGCUGGCUGCCUUGCAGGAUUGCUGAUGUCAGAAAGGAUCAUCCAUCUCUUCCAAGCUCAACUCCUCACCUGCCAUGAGGGCACUAUCAGCCAGGGAUUUACUUAGCACAGGAGCUCAGCCAGAAUGUCACUGCACCUGGGCCAGUGCUUCUUCUUGGACAAAGCUGUUACACUGCCUGCCAAAUCCACACCUCCCCCACUGGCUCCAGCACCUGUGAAGGAGCAAGGUAACUUAUC